AUAGGACCCUGUCCUCCUAUUUUCAGUUGGUUUUGGCAGCGCGAGGACUAGGGUAAUGAUUAAUAGGGAUAGUUGGGGGCAUUAAUAUUUAAUUGUCAGAGGUGAAAUUCUUGGAUUUAUGAAAGAUUAACUUCUGCGAAAGCAUCUGCCAAGGAUGUUUUCAUUAAUCAAGAACGAAAGUUAGGGGAUCGAAGACGAUCAGAUACCGUCGUAGUCUUAACCAUAAACGAUGCCGACCAGCGAUUAGGAGACGUUGAAUACAAAACACCACCAUCGGCGCGGUCGUCCUUGGCGCGUUCG
rnacentral:rRNA from 1 species